CCUACGGGAGGCUGCAGUGAGGAAUAUUGGUCAAUGGGCGGAAGCCUGAACCAGCCAAGUAGCGUGCAGGAUGACGGCCCUACGGGUUGUAAACUGCUUUUAUACGGGAAUAACGCGCCUUACGUAUAGGGCUUUGCAUGUACCGUAUGAAUAAGGACCGGCUAAUUCCGUGCCAGCAGCCGCGGUAAUACGGAAGGUCCGGGCGUUAUCCGGAUUUAUUGGGUUUAAAGGGAGCGUAGGCCGCAUGUCAAGCGUGCUGUGAAAUGUCCGGGCUCAACCCGGGCCUUGCAGCGCGAACUGGCGUGAGUGAGUCCGCGGAAAGCAGGCGGAAUGCGUCGUGUAGCGGUGAAAUGCUUAGAUAUGACGAAGAACCCCGAUUGCGAAGGCAGCUUGCUGCAGCGGAACUGACGCUGAUGCUCGAAAGCGCGGGUAUCGAACAGGAUUAGAUACCCCGGUAGUC
rnacentral:rRNA from 1 species